rnacentral:lncRNA from 1 species
GCUGCAACUAACACCUACUCAUUGCUUUUGGGUGCUAUAGAUGUCAGCACAUGUGGGCUUCGACGGGAAGAAUUGCCUCGAGCUCUCCAGCGGCAUCAUCCAAAAAUUUGGAUUGGGAACUUCAACUGCAAUUUAGGACCUGCUUAAAUGAGAAGAUGUGUUCGGGGCUUCCUCUAGGACCUAGGAUUUAUUAUGAAGUCAUAAUCUAAUUAUAGAAUCUCAUCUAGUUAAGGUGCUAGGAACCUAUCUAAUGGAUAAGAUUACAAUUGAGGAUCUGGUUUCAUAGUGGGGUAGUGCUUAUGGGUGCAAUUUCACCACCCAUCCUAGAAGAAGGCCCUUGAGCUAGGUGGAUUCCUAAUCCGUUCUUAGGGUUCCAUGCAUACAUGGCAAAAGAAAAGAAAACGAAAAGAAGAGAGGCAGAGAAUAGGAAGAGGAGAGAGAUGUAGGCGGUUAAUGCAUUUUUGAAGCUCCAUUUUUUCUUUCUUGAUGAGUGGCUAGUGAUGAUAGGGUAGAGGAGGGUGAUGAGAAAAAUGGCCAGGAUUUGAAGAGGUUGAAGAGAGUUAGAGUUUGCCGAAUCCUUGGGACUUUUUGCAUUCUAGCAUAAUUUAAAAUUUUUUUCUUAUUAUUUUUUAUUAUUCUUUGGAAGAAGAGAGGGGAUAUUUAUAGGAAAAUGAGAGGGAUAAUAAUUAAGGUGACACAAAUAGGAUGGGAGACUAUAUUUUCCUGGUUGUUAGCAUCUGAUUGAAAUUUUCAUUGUAUGGUUUUAUUAGGUGGAGCCGGGGAGUAGUAGUGGUCUCCACCUUCCUUCCGUGUCAAUUCCUUAGGUAUAUAUUGCUUAUAUGGUUAUUUGUCUUUUUAUGUAUGUAUUAAGUAACUCACUCUACCAUAUAGACUAAUUUGUCUCUCCUUUUUCUUUUUUUUCCUUUCUUUUUCUGAUUAUUAUUAUUCUUAUUCAGCCCUCCUGGGAAGAUCCUUGGCCUGAGCGUGCCCGAUCCACCGAACAAAAUUCCCCUGAGCCAUAAAAGAGGCAUUUCGAUGGCUGAUGAU